UACGUAGGGGGCUAGCGUUGUCCGGAAUCAUUGGGCGUAAAGCGCGCGUAGGCGGCCCGGUAAGUCCGUUGUGAAAGUCAAAGGCUCAACCUUUGAAAGCCGAUGGAUACUGCCGGGCUAGAGUCCGGAAGAGGCGAGUGGAAUUCCUGGUGUAGCGGUGGAAUGCGCAGAUAUCAGGAGGAACACCGGUGGCGAAGGCGGGUCUCUGGGCCGAAAUUGACGCUGAGCCGCGAAAGCCAGGGGAGCGAACGGG
rnacentral:rRNA from 1 species